rnacentral:lncRNA from 1 species
UACAAUCCCUGAGCUAGACACAAAGGUUCUCCAAGGCCCCAGCAGAGUCGAUUGGUAUAUUCACAAACCCUGAGCUAGACACACGGUGCUGAUUGGUGUAUUUACAAUCCCUGAGCUAGACAUAAAGGUUCUCCACAUCCCCACCAGACUCAGGAGCCCAGCUGGCUUCACCAAGUGGAUCCCACACCAGGGCUGCAGGUGGAGCUGCCUGCGAGAACGGCACCGUGCGCCCACACUCCUCAGCCCUUGGGUGGUGAUGGGACUGGGCGCCGUGGAGCAGGGGGUGGUGCUCGUCGAGGAGGCUCGGGCAGCACAGGAGCCCAUGGAGGGGGUGGGAGGCUCAGGCAUGGCGGGCUGCAGGUCCCGAGCCCUGCCCCUCGGAAAGGCAGCUAAGGCCCGGUGAGAAAUCGAGCACAGCGCCGGUGGGCUGGCACUGCUGAGGGACCCAGUACACCCUCCGCAGCCGCUGGCCCGGGUGCUAAGCCCCUCAUUGCCGGGGGCUGGCAGGGCCAGCCGGCUGCUCCGAGUGCGGGGCCCACCAAGCCCACGCCCACCCUGAACUCCAGCUGGCCCGCAAGCGCCGUGUGCAGCCCCGGUGCCCGCUCGCGCCUCUCCCUCCACACCUCCCUGCAAGCUGAGAGAGCCGGCUCUGGCCUUGGCCAGCCCAGAAAGGGGCCUCCACAGUGCAGCAGUGGGCUGAAGGGCUCCUCAAGUGCUGCCAAAGUGGGAGCCCAGGCAGAGGAGGCACCGAGAGUGAGCGAGGGCUGUGAGGACUGCCAGCACACUGUCACCUCUCACCAACAUUCUAAAUCAUAAACACCCAGGCCGGGCGUGUGGCUCACGCCUAUAAUCCCAGCACUUUGGGAGGCUGAGGUGAGAGGAUCGCUUGAGCUCAGGAGUUCCAUACCAGCCUGGGCAACAAGGGAAAAAACCCUACCAAAAAAAACACAAGAAAUUAGCUGGGCGUGGUGGCGCGUGCCGAUAGUCCCAGCUACUUGAGAGGCUGAGCCGGGAAGAUUGCUUGAGCCCAGCAGGUCGAGACCGAGGUGAGCUCUGAACGCCUGAUUGCGCCACUGCACCCCAGCCCAGUGACAGGGCGAGACCCUGUCUCAAAAUAAAUAAAUAAAAAUAAUAAACAACCGAAUUCAGUGGUCCCGUUAGAAUAUUCCAGGCUCCGAGAAGCCAGGUGCUCACAGCGUCGGGAUUUGCCCCCAGCCAGGGCCUCCGCUCCCUCUUGCCUCGGGCAGAUGCUCCUGGAACACAGAGCUGCGGCCUCGGUGCUGAUGCUGAGUGCUGUGACCCAGCCUCCCCCUACUUUUUUCCUAAGGGUAUAAGCUUCACUCUGCCUGGGGCUUUGGCUGUAAGUUGGAGUCUGGCUUUACCCACUGUGGGCACCCAAGGCCAAGGUGGGUCUGAUUCACCACUGUUUCCUCAGCCCUGCCAGGCUCUGAAUAUGCCUUUAGGAAUCAUUCUGGAAGAUUUCUUUCUUCACUGGACUAUAUAAGUGCCUCUGCGAGAAAACAGGCCCUAGGGGCAGGUACUUAGUCAGUUUAGUCAUCUGUUUCCUCAGCUUGAAAUGGGCUUGGCAUACAGCAGGAGCCCAGUAAAUGUUGCUUUAAUGCUCAUUUCCCAAGAGAUCUUUAUUAAGCACCCACUGCAUGUCAUUGUGUCUAGGCUUAUUCACUGUGUACCUCUAGCAGAAAGUUAAGGGGACCCUCCAUGCUUGAUGGCCAGAGGUCACUCUCAGCUCCUACAGGUCACUCUCCGGUCCUUAAACGUGGCCCUCUCCAUCUUCAAAGCCAGUAAGAGCAUGUCGGAUCCUUCUUAUCCUUCCAGCCUCUCUGUCAUCCCCUUCUGCUCCCAGCUGGAGAAAACUCUGCUUUUAAGGGGCUUGCCAUGGUCCAAAUAUGUGAGUCCCCCCAAAAUUCAUAUGUUGCAAAGCAAUCCCCAAUGUGAUGAUAUUAGGAGGUGGGGUCUUUGGGAGGUGAUGUGGUCAUGAAGGCUCAGCUUUCAUGAAUGAGAUUAGCACCCUCAUAAAACAACUCCACAGGGCCGCCUUACCCCUUCUGCUGUGGGAGGUUAUAGCAAAAAGAUGGGCUUCUAUGAACCAGAAGUGGGCCCUCACCAGGCACCAAACCUGCUGGCACCGUGAUCUUGUACUGCUCAGCCUUCAGAACUCAGAAAAUACAUUUCUGUUGUUUAGAAGACACCCAGUUUCUGGUAUUUUGUUAGAGCAGCGUGAACGGACUAAAAUAGUGCUUAUGUGGUUGUGUAACAGCAUCGAUUCCAUGUUAAAGAACAAUUUUGCUUGCUCAAUUAUAAUUAUUGCUUUGCUUAAGUUUUAGACUAUGCUAAAAACAGCCUCAGGACCUUCAGCACUGAUCAACAAUCCUGGGCAUGGGCUGACCGACAGUUUUCACCCAGAGAGUGAAGAUCAUGGAGGAGCCAUCUUAAAUUCUGCCCAGCGCAGGCUCCCAGGAAUCCUAAUGUCACGAUCUCACUGCAGCCAAUGUGACAAACACAGCAGUAAUUAAGUCUAGAGAGCUAAACACACCUCAAAAAGAAUUGUCUCUUGGUAUGAGUGGAAUGGAAUAAAAUACAUGGAAACCC